AAAUGAAUAGACGGGGGCCCGCACAAGCAGUGGAGUAUGUGGUUUAAUUCGACGCAACGCGAAGAACCUUACCAGGGCUUGACAUAUAAAAGCAUAGGUAAGAGAUUACUGAAAUCCUUCGGGACUUUUAUACAAGUGGUGCAUGGUUGUCGUCAGCUCGUGUCGUGAGAUGUUGGGUUAAGUCCCGCAACGAGCGCAACCCCUAUGUUUAGUUACUACAUUAAGUUGAGUACUUUAAACAGACUGCCAGUGAUAAAUUGGAGGAAGGUGGGGACGACGUCAAAUCAUCAUGCUCUUUAUGUCCUGGGCUACACACGUACUACAAUGGGGAGACCAGAGGGAAGCGAAACAGAGAUGUUAAGCAAAACCCAAAAGCUCUUCAAAGUUCGAAUUGCAGAUUGAAACUCAUCUGCAUGAAGCCGGAAUUGCUAGUAAUGGCAGGUCAUCAUACUGCCGUGAAUACGUUCCCGGGCCUUGUACACACCGCCCGU
rnacentral:rRNA from 1 species